GACGAACGCUGGCGGCGUGCUUAACACAUGCAAGUCGAACGGAAAGGCCCUGCUUUUGUGGGGUGCUCGAGUGGCGAACGGGUGAGUAACACGUGAGUAACCUGCCCUUGACUUUGGGAUAACUUCAGGAAACUGGGGCUAAUACCGGAUAGGAGCUCCUGCUGCAUGGUGGGGGUUGGAAAGUUUCGGCGGUUGGGGAUGGACUCGCGGCUUAUCAGCUUGUUGGUGGGGUAGUGGCUUACCAAGGCUUUGACGGGUAGCCGGCCUGAGAGGGUGACCGGCCACAUUGGGACUGAGAUACGGCCCAGACUCCUACGGGAGGCAGCAGUGGGGAAUAUUGCACAAUGGGCGGAAGCCUGAUGCAGCAACGCCGCGUGCGGGAUGACGGCCUUCGGGUUGUAAACCGCUUUCGCCUGUGACGAAGCGUGAGGGACGGGAAUGGGGAAAGAAGCACCGGCGAACUACGU
rnacentral:rRNA from 1 species